rnacentral:rRNA from 1 species
GUUGUAUUGAUAUAGACAUGGACUGAGAACUUGUUCAAAGAAAGUGAAAGUUGACUUACAACAAUGGCUUUAGUGGCGGACUGGUGAGUAACACGUAAGCAACCUGCCUAUCAGAGGGGAACAACAGUUAGAAAUGACUGCUAAUACCGCAUAUGCCUUAGCAACACAUGUUGCAAAAGGGAAAGGAGCAAUCCGCUGAUAGAUGGGCUUGCGUCUGAUUAGAUAGUUGGUGGGGUAACGGCCUACCAAGUCGACGAUCAGUAGCCGGACUGAGAGGUUGGACGGCCACAUUGGGACUGAGAUACGGCCCAGACUCCUACGGGAGGCAGCAGUCGGGAAUAUUGCGCAAUGGAGGAAACUCUGACGCAGUGACGCCGCGUGCAGGAAGAAGGUUUCCGGAUUGUAAACUGCUUUAGACAGGGAAGAACAAAGCCAGUACCUGUAGAAUAAGCUCCGGCUAACUACGUGCCAGCAGCCGCGGUAAUACGUAGGGAGCAAGCGUUAUCCGGAUUUAUUGGGUGUAAAGGGUGCGUAGACGGUAAUGCAAGUUAGUUGUGAAAUCCCUCGGCUUAACUGGGGAACUGCAACUAAAACUACAUUUCUUGAGUAUUGGAGGGGAAAGUGGAAUUCCUAGUGUAGCGGUGAAAUGCGUAGAUAUUAGGAGGAACACUGGUGGCGAAGGAGACUUUCUGGCCACUUACUGUCUUUGAGCCACGAAAGUG